GGGUCGGUGUCCGAGUGGUUAAUGGAGGCGGACUGUAAAUCCGCUGGCUUACGCCUACGCUAGUUCGAAUCUAGCCCGGCCCACCU
rnacentral:tRNA from 2 species